rnacentral:lncRNA from 1 species
GUCAAAAUUUCAUAACAGUGGAGUAAACUUGCCUGAGGUUGGACCAAUUAUAAGAAUGAAAAAGGCAUUCAUAUGAUGAUAAGAAAAGAAACGAUCAAUUUUAAACAAUGGCAACAGUGUGUCAUGAACCCCAGAUCACUGGUCAUUAAGGAUAAUGAUAAAUUUCGGCUACGAGGGGAGUUGGAUACGUUGGAUAUGUUUUAAGUCAAGAACAAAAAAAUAUUUCAGUAAAUAUUUAUUUAUAAAAAUAAAUAGGCUAAAUUUACAUUUCUUACGCUACUAUUUUGUUACUAUAGAUAAAUAUGUUUUGUAAUACAAUAUAAA